rnacentral:tRNA from 1 species
UCCUUGGUGGUCCAGUGGCUAAGACUCUGAUCUCCCAAUGCAGAGGGCCCGGGUUCAAUCCCUAACCAGGGAA